rnacentral:tRNA from 1 species
GGAGGGUAAGCUCAGAGGUAGAGUGCAUGCUUAGCACGCAUGAGGUCCUGGGUUUGGUCCCCAGUGCCUCCA